ensembl:snRNA U2 U2 spliceosomal RNA
AUUGCUUCUUGGCCUUUUGGCUAAGAACAAAUGUAUUAUCUGUUCUUAUCAGUUUAAUAUGUGAUAUGUCCUGUCAGAGGACAAUAUAUUAAAUGGAUUUUUGGAAAUAGAAGAUGGAAUAGGAACUUGCUCUGUGCACUCCACACACGGACCUAGUGUUGCAGUACUUCCAGGAAAAGUACACCCCCU